rnacentral:pre_miRNA from 1 species
GAAAGGCGAUAUUGGUGGGGUUCAAUCCGAUGACGGAUUUUUACAUCAAGGCGCAUGCAUAGUAAACUACGAUCUCAGAUUGAGCCGCGCCAAUAUCACUUUUC